GUGACGCUGGCGGCGUGCCUAAUACAUGCCAAGUCGAGCCGAAUGGAUUGAGUAGCUUGCUCUCAAGAAGUUAGCGGCGGACGGGUGAGUAACACGUGGGUAACCUGCCCAUAAGACUGGGAUAACUCCGGGAAACCGGGGCUAAUACCGGAUAACAUUUUGACCUGCUUGGUUCAAAUUGCAAGGCCCGCCUUCCGGCUGGCACUUAUGGAGGGACCCGCGCCGAC
rnacentral:rRNA from 1 species